UGGAUUAGUGGCGAACGGGUGAGUAACACGUGAGUAACCUGCCCUCCACUUUGGGAUAACUCCGAGAAAUCGGGGCUAAUACUGGAUAUGACCUUGGCCCGCAUGGGUUGUGGUGGAAAGUUUUUCGGUGGGGAUGAGCUCGCGGCCUAUCAGCUUGUUGGUGGGGUAAUGGCCUACCAAGGCGUCGACGGGUAGCCGGCCUGAGAGGGUGUACGGCCACAUUGGGACUGAGAUACGGCCCAG
rnacentral:rRNA from 1 species